GCCGCCUACUCCUCCACAGAGUACCCCGCAGGAUCAGUGCAUAUCCUCUCGGACAUGGAGACUGUGGUUCGCCGCUGCCCAUUCUUAUCCCGAGUGCCUCAGGCCUUUCUGCAGAAGGCAGGCAAAUCCCUGUUGUUCUAUGCCCAAAACUGCCCUAAGAUGAUGGAAGUUGGGGUCAAGCCAGCCCCUCGGGCCCUGUCCACUUCAUCAGUACUCUGCCACCAGGUCAAGGAAACCCCUCCAGCCAAUGAGAAGGACAAAACUGCCAAAGCCGAGGUUCAGCAGGCUCCUGAUGGCUCCCAGCGGACCCCAGAUGGCACGCAGCUUCCAACUGGUCACCCCUCCCCUGCCUCGAGCCAGAGCACUGCAAGCAAAUGUCCUUUCCUGGCGGCCCAGAUGAGCCAGGGUGGCAGCAGCGUCUUCCGCAAAGCCAGCCUGGAACUUCAGGAGGACGUGCAGGAAAUGCAUGCUGUGAGGGAAGAGGUUGCUCAAACCUCAGUGAAUCCCAGUGUGAUUAACGUGAAGACUGAUGGAGGGGAGCCGAGUGGACUGCUCAAGAACUUUCAGGAUAUCAUGCGAAAGCAGAGACCAGAAGGGGUCUCCCAUCUUCUUCAAGAUAACUUGCCAAAAUCUGUUUCCACUUUUCAGUAUGAUCGUUUCUUUGAGAAGAAAAUUGAUGAGAAAAAAAAUGACCAUACAUAUCGGGUUUUCAAAACUGUGAACCGGAAGGCGCAGUGCUUCCCCAUGGCGGAUGACUAUUCAGACUCUCUCGUCAGCAAAAGGCAGGUGUCCGUCUGGUGUAGCAACGACUACCUCGGGAUGAGUCGCCACCCACGGGUGUGUGGGGCCGUCAUAGAUACUUUGAAACAAUAUGGUACUGGAGCUGGGGGUACUAGAAACAUUUCUGGAACUAGUAAAUUCCACGUGGACCUGGAGCAGGAGCUGGCUGACCUCCACGGGAAAGAUGCAGCACUCUUAUUUUCCUCGUGCUUUGUGGCCAAUGACUCAACCCUCUUCACUCUGGCUAAAAUGAUGCCAGGCUGUGAGAUUUACUCUGAUUCUGGGAACCAUGCCUCCAUGAUCCAAGGGAUCCGGAACAGCGGAGUGCCCAAGUACAUCUUCCGCCACAAUGACGUCCACCACCUCCGAGAACUGCUGCAGAGGUCGGACCCCGCAGUCCCCAAGAUUGUCGCUUUUGAAACUGUGCAUUCCAUGGACGGGGCUGUGUGCCCACUGGAAGAGCUGUGUGAUGUGGCUCACGAGUUUGGAGCCAUCACCUUCGUGGAUGAGGUCCAUGCAGUGGGGCUGUAUGGGGCUCAAGGCGGAGGGAUUGGCGAUCGGGAUGGAGUUAUGCCAAAAAUGGACAUCAUUUCUGGAACUCUUGGCAAAGCCUUUGGCUGUGUUGGAGGGUACAUCGCCAGCACGAAUUCCCUGGUUGACACCAUCCGGUCCUACGCGGCUGGCUUCAUCUUCACCACCUCCCUGCCACCCAUGGUGCUGGCUGGAGCCCUGGAAUCUGUGCGGAUCCUCAAGAGUGCCGAGGGCCGGGCCCUCCGCCGCCAGCACCAGCGCAACGUCAAGCUCAUGAGGCAGAUGCUGAUGGACGCCGGCCUCCCAGUCAUCCACUGCCCCAGUCACAUCAUCCCUGUCCGGGUUUCAGAUGCUGCUAAAAACACAGAGAUCUGUGAUGAACUAAUGAGUAGAUACAACAUCUACGUCCAAGCGAUCAAUUACCCCACGGUGCCCCGGGGGGAAGAGCUGCUGCGGAUCGCCCCCACGCCCCUCCACACCCCGCAGAUGAUGACCAACUUCGUUGACAAUCUGCUGGCUGCAUGGAAGCAAGUUGGGCUGGAACUCAAGCCACAUUCCUCAGCUGAGUGCAACUUCUGCAGGAGGCCACUGCAUUUUGAAGUGAUGAGCGAAAGAGAGAAAUCCUACUUCUCGGGUAUGAGCAAGUUGGUGUCUGCUCAGGCCUGA